UGUGAAUGGACGCACCGUGGAGGAGACAC
rnacentral:piRNA from 1 species